rnacentral:rRNA from 1 species
UACAGAGGGUGCGAGCGUUAAUCGGAAUUACUGGGCGUAAAGCGUGCGUAGACGGCUAUCUAAGUCGGGUGUGAAAGCCCCGGGCUCAACCUGGGAAUUGCAUUCGAGACUGAAUAGCUAGGGUACGGUAGAGGGAAGCGGAAUUUCCGGUGUAGCGGUGAAAUGCGUAGAUAUCUGGAGGAACACCGGUGGCGAAGGCGGCAUCCUGGACCGGUAUUGACGCUGAGGCGCGAAAGCUAGGGGAGCAAACGGG